rnacentral:rRNA from 1 species
GUACAAAGGGUCGCGAAGCCGCGAGGAGGAGCUAAUCCCAUAAAACUAUUCUCAGUUCGGAAUGUAGGCUGCAACUCGCCAACAUGAAGCCGGAAUCGCUAGUAAUCGUGGAUCAGCAUGCCACGGUGAAAACGAUCCCGGGCCUUGUACACACCGCCCGUCACACCACGAGAGUUAGUAACACCCGAAGUCGGUAGGGUAACCAUUAUGGAGCCAGCCGCCGAAGGAGGGA